rnacentral:rRNA from 1 species
UACGUAGGGGGCAAGCGUUAUCCGGAAUCACUGGGCGUAAAGGGUGCGUAGGUGGUUCCUCAAGUCAGAAGUGAAAGGCAGUGGCUUAACCACUGUAAGCUUUUGAAACUGAGGAACUUGAGUGCAGGAGAGGUAAGUGGAAUUCCUAGUGUAGCGGUGAAAUGCGUAGAUAUUAGGAGGAACACCAGUGGCGAAGGCGACUUACUGGACUGUAACUGACACUGAGGCACGAAAGCGUGGGGAGCGAACA